CCAGCAGACUAAUGCAAGGUGUAUCAUUUUUAUAAAGCUCAAAAAUCCAUCAAAGUCAAGCAACACUCUAUAGGGAAAGUCAGACAAAAAGAGAGAGGAUGAUUUUUAGUACAACAAGCAAUGUUCAACACAAAGUUCAUCUCCAGACUUGGAGGAGGCAGAGGCACAUGAUAUGGGAGGAGCAUACAAGCAAUUACAACCAUGUUUGGGUUCUAAAAUUGAGUGGUGAAUCCACAACCAUUCAUUUUACUAUUCUGCUUCAUUCCUUACAUGUAUGUUAUGUUACAUAUAUCCCCACACUGAAGAAUGGGAUAAAGAAAAAGAAGCCAGAAGUAAUAGCUUCAUCCAAGAGCAUUGUAAGAGCCUAGAGCAACACCGAAGAUAUCUGGGAUAUAUUCUGAGUUCCCACUCAAUACCUCAAUAACCUCUCCUGCUCUGACUCUCUUUUUCUGUAUCUAACUCAUAUGUUUUUCAUAGACCACUUCCCAGGGAGCAGUCUGCAGCAUUCUAACCACUUACAAGUCCUAUAAACUGAGAUAAGCAGAGUGAGAGAGUAACCGAUCUCUUAUAAUUUUGCUAGUCACACAUGCUUAAAGUGUACAUUUUCUUCAUAACAGAAGAGACCAUUUCUAUCAGAACCACGGGGUUAAUGUAUUCUUUCCUUUCUCAUCUCCCACCCCCAGACACUAACCAACCCCUCUGGGAAAAAAGCUUUUAUCUUAUCAGAGGCUGAUGCUUUGGGGAUAAUGCAGCAAUAUUUUAUUAUUGCUGCUAAUAUGUGCAUGUGGCUAUAGAUGGAACAAUAGGCAAAGAACAUUGCUUUGUUCUAUGAAGUCAUAAACCUACAUUGACCAGUUUAAGUGGCUUCCUUCCUUUGGCAGCUGCCUUCUCAAAGAUCUGGAUAUGCCUAGGUCUAAUAGAAGGUCUCUGGAGGAGAUUUUUGCCCACUAAAGAGAAGUAGAGAAAGAGAUCUCUGUCUAAGGCUACUACAACUAACAUGGUUCAAGUGUAUGAUCAGGGGUUGCUUUCUUCAAGGAAUCCUGAUGGAGAGCUGGACUUCAAAUGUCUUCUUCCUUGGGAAUAACAUGAAUAGGGAGCAACAGCAAAACAAAACUUUCACAGCCCUCUACUUGAAGAUGCAAGGAUCAGAUCAAACUUCGAGACCCAGGUUAGAAGGCAUGAUGAAACCCUUGGAAUACCUAAUACAUGUCUGGCUCCUACUGGCCUCUUGACCAUUGUUGCAUUUUGGAAAACUAUGUCCAGGAUGAAUGUAUAGAAACCAAAGGAAGGAAGAAAAGAAGGAAAAAAGGAAGGAAGGAAAGAAGAUUUCUUAAGCAUAUUGGGUCUUCUCAAGCACCAUGCCUCAUUCUACAAUGUCAGGAAAUACAAAGACGAAUUCCCAAAGGAAUGAGCCUUGAGCCAUUCUGGCCCUAGCAGCAUAUUGUAGCAUUCUACCUUAUAAGUCUCACCACAGGUGAAAUCCCUCUUAGCAGCUGGCUUAUGAAAUAAUGUGAAGGGAGGCCUUAAUGAGCAGAAAGCACCCUCAGCUGGAGAUAAAUAUAUGCAAAUGAGAUGCACAAACAAAGGAGCCUGGACAGAGAAAUAUCUGCAAUUCCAGCAAAAUGCUGCCUGCAGCUCGAAGAUGAACAGCUUUGAUAAAAUGUGAGAAACAAUCCUCAUAUGUGCUGAUGACUCAAGCACAUGAAUCGGCAACAAGCAAGUAGGAUAAAAAAUAGUUAAAAUGAAUCAACAUUUAUCUGGAAGAUACAGUCCUGACCCUAAAAAAAAAAAGAAAAAAAAAAAGAGUCAUUUAUCUUCUGUGUCCUGUGAUGUUUUGAAGAUUCUGGCAAAUAUGGCAGUUAAACAAACUUCUCUCACAAUCUAAAUACUGUCUGUUC